UUCCAGACUCCUACGGGAGGCAGCAGUGAGGAAUAUUGGUCAAUGGGCGGGAGCCUGAACCAGCCAAGUCGCGUGAGGGAAGACGGUCCUACGGAUUGUAAACCUCUUUUGCCGGGGAGCAGAGGUCCGGACGUGUCCGGGCCGGGAGAGUACCCGGAGAAAAAGCAUCGGCUAACUCCGUGCCAGCAGCCGCGGUAAUACGGAGGAUGCGAGCGUUAUCCGGAUUUAUUGGGUUUAAAGGGUGCGUAGGCGGGCUGUUAAGUCAGCGGUCAAAUGUCGGGGCUCAACCCCGGCCUGCCGUUGAAACUGGCGGCCUCGAGUGGGCGAGAAGUAUGCGGAAUGCGUGGUGUAGCGGUGAAAUGCAUAGAUAUCACGCAGAACUCCGAUUGCGAAGGCAGCAUACCGGCGCCCGACUGACGCUGAGGCACGAAAGCGUGGGUAUCGAACAGGAUUAGAUACCCCGGUAA
rnacentral:rRNA from 1 species